ensembl:lncRNA
GGCUGCAGAACCACUGAGCUAAAUCCUCAGCCCUCGCCCCUCUUUUUUUGAGACAGGGGCUUGCUAAAUUGCAAGGGCUAGGGCCGGGGAUGUAGCUCAGUGGUUCUGCAGCCUGCCUCACAAGCACAAAGUCCCGAGUUCGAUCCCCGGUACCAUAAAUUGCCCAGGCUGAGCUCGCGCUUGCAACCCUCCAGCCUCAGCCUAACAAGUAGCUGGAUGAUUGGCUGGGGCCGCCACGACCUGCUUAGGGGUGCAGUUCUGAGCGCCCACCCUGGAGGGGUCUGUGCUCCCUGCUGAAGGAGUCACGGCCCACAGCCCAGAGAGGCCGAGCUGCUUGGCCAGGGUUGACCAGCACUGAGUGGAAGGCUGCUCCUGGCCCUGAGCCCACCUCCCUCCUCACAGUGACCCCACUCCCAGGGCCACAGCUGCAGGACGUCACCCCGACCGCCCGCCUGAUAGGCUCCGAGUGCUCUGCGGUCUCGUGGAACAUCUGGGCCCCCCAGUCCUGGCCCGCAGAGCCUGCCCAGCUGCGCCUCUGAGCCACACCCAGAGGCCUCCCGGCUCUGCCAGGGAGACUGGAAAUUUCUGCUCAGCAGCCCGGUUGGGGUGGAUUUCGACACCACUCAGCGGGGGAUGGGGGAGCGGGUGGGCCGCCAGACAGGCUCUGCAUUCCUGAGGCUCCGAUUCCGGGCACUGGGAGGGGUCUUCACUAGGCCUAUGUGAGUCCCUCAGAAAUAACAGUAACAAAGCCCCCACAGUGGUCCCCCAGGCACCCUGGGAGGCUGAGGCAGGAGGGUUGCAAGUUCUGCCCCAGCACAGUCAAUUCAGCCACUUAGCAAGACCCUGUCUCAAAAUAAAAACUAAUAAUUUUUAAAGAGGCUCUGGGUUCAGUCUUCAGUAUGGCAAAACCAAACAUGGUAACAAAACAGCCUGAAGAACCUUCCAGUGUCCAGGGAACUCAGCCCUAUCACCAGGCCACAGUGUGCAUGACACCCACAGAUCCAGCUAUGUGUUGGGGAGCAGGCUGGGCUGGAAGGGAGGCAGCGCUGGGGUGGGGGCCCAAAGAAAACAGAGGUUCAGCCCUGGGCGGCUUGGCCAGCACUUUGGGCAGCAGAGGGGGAGGCGGCCCUCCCGGGAUACCGGGGACCCCAAGGACUGGGGUAGGACCCUCUCCCCGACCUCUCCCUGACCCCGGGGCUGGGGGCGCCCGGCCAGAUUCAGCCAGGACUAAGCGCCCCAUUAUGCACCCAGGGCCAAACGCAAAGAGGAGCGACGGGACCCCAGGCCCGGGCGGGCGAGGCCCUCCCUGGAAAUGGAUCUAGCGAUCCCUUCCCGGCUGGGGCGUGGGAGCUCGGGGAGCACCCGGUUAAGAAGCCUGGGGGCCGAGGGGACCAAGCCAGUCCCCCUCCGCAGGGCAGGGCGCGGCGCCCGGUUCAGCGGAAAGGAAUGCGGCGCUCGGGGGGAGGCCGAGGCAGCGCACACCCUCCGCCCCCGCGAGUCCGGAGCUGCGGUCUUGCAGGCGAUCGAGCCCGGGAUCAGAGCCUCUCCCGGCCCGAAGUGGGGG